CGAGGAGAUGUCUGUGACUUAUCAGCUAGUUGGCGGUGUAAUGGAACAUCAAGGGUAAGACGGGUAUGGGGUGUGAGAGCAUGCCCCCACUCACUGUGAGACAGACACUGACCAGACACAUACGGGUGGCUGCAGUGGAGAAUCUUUGGCACAGGGUGUAAGCCAGACCGAAAGAUUCUGCGUGCGGGACAAAGGCCUUCGUGUUGUCAACCGCUCUGUUACGGGAGCAAGGGGAAACCUUGAGCGAUCCUUGGAGGAAGGACCGGUUAAGUUCGUGCCAGCAGCCGCGGUAAUACGAACGGUCCACAUGUUAUCGGGCAUCACUGGGCUUAAAGCGUGAGUUGGUGGUCCAGUAACCAGAGUUUGAAAUCGCUCGGCUCAACCCAGGAAUAGCGAUCUGAAUAACUGGACUCGAGGGAGAUAGAGGUAAGCAGAACUGAAUAUGGAGCGGGAAAAUGAGUUGAUAUCAUCAGGAACACCGGAGGUUAAGGCGGCUUAUCGAGUUUUUUCUGACGCUGAGGGACGAAAGAUAGGGGCGGGAACGAGAUUAGAUACCCCGUUAGUCCUACCCGUAAACGUAGAGUACUGGGCCGGAGUCCCGCACAGGAUUUCAAUCGUCGAGGCAACAACAAGUACUACGCCUGGA
rnacentral:rRNA from 1 species